rnacentral:rRNA from 1 species
AUUGAACGCUGGCGGCAUGCCUAACACAUGCAAGUCGAGCGGAGCGGCGGACGGGUGAGUAAUGCCUAGUAAUCUGCCUCGUAGCGGGGGAUAACGUCCGGAAACGCGCGCUAAUGCCGCAUACUUUCAGAUGAUCCUAGGUCGGAUUAGCUAGUGGGUGGGGUAAAGGCCUACCAAGGCGACGAUCCGUAACUGGUCUGAGAGGAUGAUCAGUCACACUGGGACUGAGACACGGCCCAGACUCCUACGGGAGGCAGCAGUGGGGAAUAUUGGACAAUGGGCGAAAGCCUGAUCCAGCCAUGCCGCGUGUGUGAAGAAGGUCUUCGGGUUGUAAAGCACUUUAAGUUGGGAGGCGGUACCUACAGAAUAAGCACCGGCUAACUACGUGCCAGCAGCCGCGGUAAUAC